rnacentral:sRNA from 1 species
AUCUCCAGCAUUGCUCACUCAGUGAAUGUCCCGAAUGUAACCAAGAAAAAGUUAACUUACAAAGUCGAGUCUGAUCUGCCAUUCAUCUCUGGGCCACAACACAUUACAGCCUUACCCAACCAAACCUGUUUGUACACGUUCAAUGCCAGCCCCAAAAAGAGGGGAACGUACAAAGGUGUCCUGGUUUUCACAGCCAGAACUAACAUUGACAAAGAUGUAGACAGUGAUGGAGAAGAGUACAGUCAUGAAACAGAUAACGCAGACUAUCUGGGCUACAGAUUGUGGUAUGCUCUUAGUGUGGACGUGAAACCCUCCUUGCCAGAGAGGACUAUCAACAUUACAUGUGCUUGCCAG